UGUCACCGGUGCUGGUGUCGUAUAUUAGCUGUUGUUACUUCCUGGAGUCAGUUGUGGUCAACCCUAUUGACCUGCAGGUCGCUCAGACUGACCACGCCUCCCAUCGCCCGGUGUUCUCUGGAGGAGGGUGUCCCAGGUGUGUGAAAGGAGGAACGCUCUGUCAUCAUACUGCCCAUGCCUCGUUUCCUGAAUGCAAUGGCCUCCCUGAUUUUGAACUUGGCCUCCCUGAGUUUGAACUUGUUUUCCGAUCCAAUGACCUGUGCCCCGUCCCAAUCAGGUCAGGCUGGCAGGUCAGUCUGACUAACCUGCCAGGUCAAUCAGGCUGACCACGCUGACAGGAAGGAACAACAUCUGAUAUACGACACGUCACCAGCAACACCGGGGACAGUUCUGAAAAUGACUUGCAGAUAGCAGCAGAAACAUGUCAACAAGAUAUUCUCCAUAGAUGAUCCCUCCCUUGCUGGCCUUGUUGUCUCCUGCCUGCGCCUCAUCAUCCUCUUCUUCACUUUUGGGAGGUCUGUUUUUGAACAACCUGGAGAUCAAAAAGAGCUCAAAAGGCCUCUCCAGCGCCCGGACCACUCUCCUCCUCACAAGAUCAGAGCCUUGCUGAUAACAAGCACCACCACA